rnacentral:rRNA from 1 species
UACGUAGGAGACGAGCGUUGUCCGGAGUUACUGGGCGUAAAGGGUGCGCAGGUGGUUGUGCGCGUGGGGGGGUGAAAUCGCCCCGGCUUAACUGGGCGGGGGCCCUUCCAGACGGCGUGACUUGAGGCGCGGAGGGGGGACGUGGAAUUCCGGGUGGAGCGGUGAAAUGCGUAGAGAUCCGGAGGAACACCGACGGCGCAGGCAGCGUCCCUGGCCGCGACCCUGACACUGAGGCACGAAAGCUGGGGGAGCAAACAGG